UAGGGGUUUAAGCUCUCUCGCCGACUCACUGUUGGUGUGGGCCGUGUAGCCGUCGGGGAGAGUCGGAAAUCGCAAAUCUCUCUCUGAUAAAUCAAUUUCGUUUAGAACAUAUAGCGAGGAAAUGGCGUUCGAGAAGAUCAAGGUCGCCAACCCGAUCGUCGAGAUGGACGAGCAAAGUUGGAUGACAAUGCAAGACUACUGGAUUUCACUGAGAAACUAGAAGCUGCUUGUAUUGGAACUGUGGAGUCUGGGAAGAUGACAAGGAUCUUGCACUGAUUAUCCAUGGAUCUAAGCUUACAAGAUGCCAAUACCUUAACACUGAGGAGUUCAUCGAGGCAGUGGCAGAUGAGCUGAGAGCAAGACUUGGCUGCAAAGCAUAAUUUGUCCAAAUAGGAGAUAUUUUAAAUCUGCAAUUGGGUUUCCAGUGUUUUAAAACAUAUAUGAGAAGAAUGAAGUGGUGCAGGAGAAGACUCAGGACGUGUGUGUUUGAAUCAGAUAUUCUUAAUUUCAUAUGCUAUUUUGUUGGCAUUUUAUGAUCUGAAAUAGAAUUUCAAAGUAGCCUUUUUCUACUGUUUCGAUUUAGGAUUGAGGCAGUACCUCCGACAGUUAUUCUGGGGCUACGUCGUUGCAUGCUUUUCUGGAAUGCUUGAAAAUACUCGGGAGUCUUGGAUUAAAUCAUAGUACUCCUAUUUGAUUUUUCUUCGCUGCUAUACUUAAUUGAUUAUUUUUGGUA